rnacentral:rRNA from 1 species
GUGUCAGCAGCCGCGGUAAGACAGAGGGUGCAAACGUUGCUCGGAAUUACUGGGCGUAAAGCGCGUGUAGGUGGCUCCGCGAGUCCGAUGUGAAAGCCCAGGGCUCAACCCUGGAAGUGCAUUGGAUACUACGGAGCUGGAGGCCUGGAGAGGUGGGCGGAAUUCCCGGUGUAGAGGUGAAAUUCGUAGAUAUCGGGAGGAACACCAGUGGCGAAGGCGGCUCACUGGACAGGUCCUGACACUGAGACGCGAAAGCGUGGGUAGCAAACAGGAUUAGAUACCCUGGUAGUCC